rnacentral:lncRNA from 1 species
AGAAAUUUUGCAGAGUGCCGAAUAUGUCAGAGAUAUAGAGGAUGGAGAAAUCACCUUAGACCAUCUUGUGGGUGAGGGUGAUUGGAGGCAGGCUCAGAGGCAAGCAGCAGGGAUCCCCAAAUCAGUGUUAGACCUGACUAAAAACUCAGCAGAGUGAGCUUUCCUUAGCAUGCCCUCUAAGGAACACCUAAUAUCUUAUAUUGCUCUCAAGCAAUCUGUUACAGAGCCAUUCAUGGAUUUCGUCGAUCGGGUGAGAGCUUCUGUUGAAAAGAGGGUGGAAUGGCAAGAGCUACAAGACCAGCUCACAUUAGAAAUUGUCACCACAAAUGCAAAUGAAGCCUGUCAGUGAGUCAUCAUGGCACUUCCAGCGUCCCCUCCACCAGUGCUUGAUCAGCUCAUUGAGGAGUGCACAAGAAAAGCCACACUAAUGGCAGAGGACUUGAUGAAAAUGCCUCGGAAAAAAUUUGUUGUUGCUCCAACAUCGAAACCUCCUCCACCCAAACGCAGGUGUUAUUACUGCAACCAGGAAGGCCACCUCAUCAGCCAAUGCCCCUUUUGGGGGACAGCGCCUCCUCAGGGAGGGAGGGCAGGGGGGAAGAAUUCUCCAACCAGUUAGUUAUGUAUCCAGACUCUGGAGAAAUCCAGGGCCCACACCAGCUUAUCACUUGGGGACGGGUGUAUGCGUGCAUGUCCACAUCCUCCAGACUCAAGAAAUGGGUCAAACUCUAUAGUCCUGAAAAGGGAGUGAGUCCACCACAAAAUACCCCUCCUGAGGCUUUAGAAGACCCCACCGACAAGGCAAUUGCAUCAGACAGGAAACGCCGCAGGGAAGGAAGAGACCCCAAAUUCCUGUUUUCCUUUAUACUGGCAGAGCAAAUGCAGAAGCCACACCUGUGAAUGCCAAGUGAACUGACAUUUAUCGAGGGAAGAGCUGAGAUUCUUAUCAAUGCAGGUACAAGAAGCUGACAGGAACCUAAAGUCCAGUUCUGGUUGAACACUGGUAACAACAAUAGAGCUUUAAUCAAGAAGGAUCCAUAGAACAUCCCAUCUUCAUAUCCUCACAUAAUGCAGCUACAGAAUGCUUAAAUCAAGCAGAAAGAAAGAAUAGCAACCCUUGAAAUGUGCCAGAGGAAUAGAACACGGAAGGUCAGAUUUCAAUGGAAAAGCAAGGAAAUUGGAGACUGGAUACCAAAUGUGGUCAAUACUGGGAUCAUAAGCCUGAUCUAUCAAGUAAGUCUCUGCAAAUAUACCAUUUAAAAUCUUUUCUCUAUCUGUGAAUGAUCUCCACAGAAAAGUCUCUUCACACCACCAGAAUUCUCAAAAUGACGCAUUGAAGGGAGAUUGUAAGGAGAAAUCCUUUCUGAAUGAUUCAGGAAACUGAAAAGCACAGGAUUAACAAAGUCCAAAUAUGGAGCAAAUGAGCAGUGAUUCAGUUUUGCCUUGGAUCUUCUGGGCAAUACCAAGAUGAAGAUGAAGAGCAAAUGUCUUUAAAAGGCAAGUCCUAUAUUUGAUACAGAUCUGGCAAAAAGCAAUGGUACAUGAUUCAGAAGAACAUUACUGAAACCAUACUGUUUCUAAAUGUUUUGUUGAAAGUUAAUUAAUUUGUUACAUUUGAAGUGAAGCUUUUGGUGAUGAUGAAAAUGUGUUGCUUCUUGGAAUGUACUCCUGCAUAAAAUGAUUACUUCAGAAUAUUUUUGCCUGUGAAGUCAUCAAAUAAGCCAAUUCUUAUGAGGCUGAGCUAUAUUAGAGAGCCUUUUUGGACGCAAUAUUUGGCACUAUUGAUUAAAAACUAUCAUGGAAGCAUAUUUUAUAUCAGUGUGUGCUUUCCUCCCUUUAUUAGCUUUAUUCUGGUGUCUGCCAUAAUAAUUCUCUGAGGCAAAUCUCACAGGACAUAUAGUGCAAAACAUAGUGCUCAAGAUUUCUUUUCAUCUCUGUAUUCUCUGCACACCUUGUUUAAAAUGAGAUACAUUGAUAAGUCCUGGAAGUAAUGGGAGAAUUACCAUUGCUUUUCCCAAAGGCUGAGAAUAAAAAUGUUCCUUCCAAAGGCA